AUUGAACGCUGGCGGCAGGCUUAACACAUGCAAGUCGAGCGAGCGGCGGACGGGUGAGUAAUGUCUGGGAAACUGCCUGAUGGAGGGGGAUAACUACUGGAACCGGUAGCUACUACCGCAUAACAUCAGAUGUGCCCAGAUGGGAUUAGCUAGUAGGUGGGGUAAUGGCUCACCUAGGCGACGAUCCCUCGCUGGUCUGAGAGGAUGACCAGCCACACUGGAACUGAGACACGGUCCAGACUCCGACGGGAGGCAGCAGUGGGGAAUAUUGGACAAUGGGCGCAAGCCUGAUACAGCAAUGCCGCGGGUGUGAAGAAGGCCUUCGGGUUGUAAAGCACUGUCAGCGAGGAGGCGUUACUCGCAGAAGAAGCAACGGCUAACUCCGUGCCAGCAGCCGCGGUAAUUC
rnacentral:rRNA from 1 species